UGAUGUGAGGCCAAUCUGGCUGUGACAUCUGUUACCCCAUUGAUCACCAGGGUUGAUUCGGCUGAUCUGGCUAGCUAGGCGGGUGUCCCCCUCCUCCCUCACCUAUCCAUGUGCGUUCCUCCCGAAGCUGUGCACUGCCCCCCCACAGGAGAGGACUGGUCUUUGGUCAAGGGUAUACAAGUAGCUGUGCUCCCUGCUAAAACCUCCAAACAAGCUCUCAAAAAUCAGUAAAUACAGUAUAUAUCUGAGAUUUUAUUUCUUUUGUAGACAAAAGCUAUCACAUUAUGUAUGUCUUUAUACUUU
rfam:Myotis davidii contig211835, whole genome shotgun sequence.